ACAUUCCUACAACAUUGUGUUAAUGCAUUGGAUCCCAUUCGAACUCUGUAGUUAAGCGCGCUCAGGCUAGAGUAGUAUUGGGAUGGGUGACUGCACGAGACGUCCUAGUGUUUUAAAUGCC
rnacentral:rRNA from 1 species